GUGGGGAAUUUUGGACAAUGGGCGCAAGCCUGAUCCAGCCAUUCCGCGUGCAGGAUGAAGGCCUUCGGGUUGUAAACUGCUUUUGUACGGAACGAAAAGCCUCUGGUUAAUACCCGGGGGUCAUGACGGUACCGCAAGAAUAAGCACCGGCUAACUACGUGCCAGCAGCCGCGGUAAUACGUAGGGUGCGAGCGUUAAUCGGAAUUACUGGGCGUAAAGCGUGCGCAGGCGGUGAUGUAAGACAGUUGUGAAAUCCCCGGGCUCAACCUGGGAACUGCAUCUGUGACUGCAUUGCUGGAGUGCGGCAGAGGGGGAUGGAAUUCCGCGUGUAGCAGUGAAAUGCGUAGAUAUGCGGAGGAACACCGAUGGCGAAGGCAAUCCCCUGGGCCUGCACUGACGCUCAUGCACGAAAGCGUGGGGAGCAAACAGGAUUAGAAACCCUAGUAGUCC
rnacentral:rRNA from 1 species